CUGGUAAUUUGCUGUUGCUUGCAAAACUACUUAGUACUAAAGGAUUAUUGUGGCACUUCCAUUUGUUACCCAAGCUCAAUCAACAACGUCAGACAUUUUUUUGCUAGUGGUAGUGUCAUAAACAUUGUGGACUAACUUUUUCAAAUGAUGAUUCAUUCUUGGUGUUGCUUAAGUCAUUUUCAAAUGGUGGAUUCAUAGAACUGAUUGUCUGAUACUGACUAGUACUGUUAUGACUUAUGACCGAUAUGUCAUGGCUGUCACAUCUGACUCACCAAAGCAGCAGGUCAUAAAAGAACAAAAGCAAACUCUCAGGCUACUGUUUGCCUUUGUUACAUGUGGUUCUUGUACUUGGAAGGAAAUAUUAUUGGUAGGAUGAAAAAGAUCAAUCAUUUUUAAGCUGUUGUGUUUGAAGAGCAGUUUAGGUGAUGGAUCAUGUCUUCAUUUAAUCUGUUCAGUCAUCGCAGAAAUACUUCUAAACUCGUAAGUGUGAAAGCCUUGCAUUAACCAAGAAAACAAAGCCACUUAAAUCUUAGGAAGCCCUGUACUCCUUUGUUUUAUCUGUAUAGUAGCAACUGAUUCUAAACUAUUGUAUUUUCCAUUCAUAUUUCCUCAAAAGGAUUCCCAAUUUCCCAUUCUUAUUGGUUAUUUGGUUAUGCCGUCUCAUGUAAAUUCCAUGUGGAUGUAUCAUUUUAGAGAUCCCAGAGCCAUAGGGUUGCAGUUGCACCUUUUCUAAUAAAAGAUAGAGGCAAAGAAAGUAGUACCAACGUUGCAAUUUUUAUCACUUUGAGCAUAGACAGUGUUUCAUUCCACAUAUAACUCUCUGGAAUUGCACUUCUAUCUGUAGGCGAUAAAUUUGCUUGUGUUCCUUUCAGGUUUUUGGAAGGGGUGGAGAAGAGAUGGAUUUCUUACAGCAACAGGGAAUCAAAGUUGAAAUUAUCCCAGGUAGAUAAUCCUAUUGGACUAGCUUGGAUAAUUUGCAUUGGUAGUUGGCAGCAGUUAUGAAAUACUAUGGAUCUAAAUUCAAAAAAUUGCAGGAAUUACCUCUGCUUCAGGAAUUGCAGCAGAACUAGGCAUUCCGCUAACCCAUCGAGGUGUUGCUACCAGGUAAGAUUAGCCUUCUGUAAUUUUAUUCUACCUAACUAGUAACUACGCAAAAAAGAUUUCCCCUUUAAUAUGCAAUGCAUUUUCUAAAUGGAUUUUCCACAAGAUUCACCAUUUCCUAUCAGGUUUUUGUUUAGGAUCUGCAAUACUCUCUCGAAUGCAGCAAUUAGCAUGCCUGCUUGUGGAUUUUGUGAGUAUUUGCUGUAGAGUUGAGGCUUUAAAUGUACUAGUUACUUGCUGUAACUCUUAAUGGUUCCUGUUUUUGACCAUACAUGUCUCAUUGCGUAGUGAAAGUUCUUGGUAUUAUUUUCUGAUGUCCUGAUGUGCUAUGGCUAAUGGAGUAGCAAAUGUUUUUAAUAAUAAAACGCUCUUGCAUUGUUAAAUGAGCAGAAAGGCGCUAGUUUGUCUCUGAUACCUUAGUGUAGAGAGAUAAUCAUUCUUGAUGCUUACUAGAAUAAAUAGUUGAGAUAUAAUCUUCUCUUCAGUGUCAGAUUUUUAACUGGACACUCCAGAAAUGGUGGGACAGACCCACUAUAUGUAGCUGGAAAUGCAGCCGAUCCUGACACUACUUUGGUUGUGUACAUGGGUUUGUCAACACUUGCAUCACUUGCACCAAAGUUAAUGAAGCACGGCCUGCCACCAGAUACCCCUGCUGUUGCAGUAGAGCGCGGGACUACACCUCAACAACGAAUGGUAGUGACUCUUAGGUCCUCACAAACUAAAUUGUGUUUAACUGUACUCUGCGAUCCUGAAUGUUUCUUAUGCUGUAGGUGUUUGCGUUGUUAAAGGAUCUUGUGGAUGAAGUCAAGUCAGCUGAUCUUGUUUCUCCAACUCUAAUAAUUAUCGGGAAAGUGGUAUCCUUGUCACCAUUUUGGGUUGAGUCAUCUGAACAUGAUGCCCUGAAAAUUGAGAGCUCGUAUGCAAGUGAAGCCAGAUGAUAAUACGUUUUCAUGAUUUUAGUGAUUGGACAAUACAUACUUGAGUAACGCAAUAUCCCAGAUAUGAGCAGUUCCAGUUGGGAUCCAUUUAGGACAUGCGAGCACAGGUUCGACCUGGUGUACACAACAUUUCAGGAAGCAUGGAUUCUGAAUGACGGAUGAUAGCUUAAGCCCAUAACAGCCUUUGGGGUUUGGGCAGAAGCGCACUUGGGAGUUGAUGAGGGCAUGUCUGGAGGCUUCAGCUUCAGUAAAUUUACGGCUUUCAAUUCGGUGUCUUCUUCGUCAAAGAAGACUCGGUAGAUGUAUGGUUUUCAAUUCAAUAGCACCUGCAAACUCCUUUCUGACUGGAGGUCCAUUCGGAGUGCAGGGAUUUUACAGAAAUUAGACAAAAAAAGUUCUGUUUUUUGGGGGGAAUUAGAAAAAUCUCUGCUUCCCAAGCGUAGAUAACUGUAAGAUUUUUGUUGUCAUCUUUAAAAUAAUUGUAUUGUUUUUAUGUGUUAUAUUCAUCUUUAAAAACUCUUGGUAAAACAGAGCCUGAAGAAUGAACCUUUAAGCUGAAUUAGUGUUUGGUGUUUGGUUCUAGAGUCUAUGAACGGCGCAACUCUAUUCCAGAUUCUGGGGAUAGAAUGACUUCAUAACUAUUUUUUUUUGUUUCAUAGUGAGGCAUAACGGAACGGAUUUAUUCUGUGUUUGGUCUAGAGUGUAGCAAAAUAGAGCGGCUUCAUCAUGUGCAAAUAUAUAAUUUUCUAACCAUGAUCCACUCAUACAACUAUUUGUUAUGGUUUGCCACGACACUAGUAAAUGUAGAACAUGAGAUAUAUCAUAAUUACCCUGUAAUCCUAAACUUGUCACAUCCAUUCGAAACAUGACAAAAGUGACAAGCCAAAAUAAGAAAUGGCCACAACAUUGAAAGGGGCACCCGAGAUGAUACACCGGAUAUGUCCGGCAGCACAAUGAAGAACAUUCGACGUAGAGAACUAGAGAAGGCAAUUUAAUGGAUAUUAAAUAGAUAUAUUCGAAUUCGAUUUCUAGUUUUUUCUCUAUCCGAAUCUAGGUUCGUAUUCGACAAAACCGUGGAAUAUCCGAUACUAUCCGUAUUCGAGAAAAAAAAGUAUACCAUGAAACAUUAAAAAGUUAUUUUUAUUCCGAAUUAAAAAUUACAAAUGAUUUUACUUUUCAUAUUAUGCUAGAAAAUCAUGUACACCAUUUAAAAUAUUAAAAAUAUUUAUAUGAUAAAGCGGUCCCGUCGAAAGUUAGGAUCUCGGAAAAAAUUUGUCGGAAGUUAGCUUAACUUUCUAGAGCCAUCGAGAAAGUUAGAUAACUUCCUAAAGCUGGCGGUCCCUCUCGGAAAUUAGUAGGUUCACGCUGUUAAGGCACAUAACGCCGUCAUCCUGAUAACUUCCUACGUAGCCUAACUUCCUAGAGUUAAUUUGACCAGCAUUACAAAUGUUGUUUAUUUUCAUUUUACACCAUAUUCUACAAUAUAACAAAUAUAUUAACAGCUAUAGCACAACAUAUUUUCACAUAAAAUAUCUCACACAUAAUCACAUAACAACAAUUAAAUCCAUAGUCUCAUCAAUUACAUCACAAAAGUCUCAUCCAUAGUCAUAAGACACAACAUCUCAUCCAGUCAUAUGAGACAAUGUCAAAACAUCUCAUACAUAGUCAUAAGACACAAAAAGUCUCAAAUAUCACAACACAUAAAAUGGAAGCUCAAUAUCGCCGAUCACCAUCAAGGUACAUCGACAAGUGAUGGUCGAUACCUCCACCAGCGAAGAGGGCUUCGACAAAGUCUAACCCGUCAUCUCGUUCCUGCGUCGACAAGGUAGAUGGAGGGGUCUGAUAUACCUGUACAAAUGAUAUUUGCUGAGUUACACCAUAAUAUAACUAACAACAAGUAAAUGAUGAUGAAUUUGCAUACCUGAUGUUCGGUAGGUGGAGGUGGAGGUGAAGACCAAGGAUAAUGUACGGGAGGUGGUGGUAGUGGUGGGGCACCGAGACGUGUAUCCCUUGGGCUUGUGCUAGUUGCUACAAAAUUGUCGUACUCAUUCACAUCAGUGUUUUAAAUCAAUACAUAUCUUAAAGUGAAAGCUAUUAUCUUUCGAACUUACUUGUAUGAGUGUUUGCGGUUGUUGAAUUUGUGUAGCAUAGUAUUCAUGUUGUGAAGCUUGUUGCCUCAAGUAAUCCUGAUGUCGCCUAAGUUCUUCUCGUAGUUGCUCUACUUAUGCUAGAUCUUGAGUGGAGCGACGGGAGCUACGAGCAGCAGACCUCGACGAACCUGAAAGGGAAUUAGGCUUACACCUAUUUCCUAAAUGAUUUUGUUGGUUGAAUUGCCUAACACAAAUAAUUGGACUAACUAGUUUGCUCUAGUGUACAAGUUAUACAGGUGCCAAAGGCUCACACUUAGCCAAUAAAAAGACCAAGUAUGGGGUUCAACAAAGAGAGCAAGGGAUAACCGAAGGCACCUCUGGUCUGGCGCACCGGACUGUCCGGUGUGCCACCGGACAAUGUCCGGUGCACCAACGGACAGUGUCCAGUGCACCAGGGGACUUCACGCUGAACUCCUCACCUUCGGGAAAAUCCAGAGGCGCUCCGCUAUAAUUCACCGGACUGUCCGGUGUACACCGGACAGUGUCCGGUGCCCCAAGAAAGAGCGGCUCUGGAACUCGCCAGCCUCGGGAAAUUGCUCCGCUAUAAUUCACCGGACUGUCCGGUGUACACCGGACUGUCCGGUGAACCAGCAGAGCAACGGCUACUUCGUGCCAACGGUCACCUGCAGGCACAUUUAAUGCGCGACAGAAGCGCGCAGAAGUCAGGCACGCGCGGGACGGUGCACCGGACAAUCUACAGUACUUGUCCGGUGUACACCGGACAGCCAGGCGGGCCCAGAAGUCAGAAGCUCCAACGGUCGAAUCCCAACGGCUUGGUGACGUGGCUGGCGCACCGGACUGUCCGGUGCACCAUGCGACAGACAGCCCCACCAAACGGCUAGUUUGGUGGUUGGGGCUAUAAAUACCCCAACCACCCCACAUUCAAGUGAUCCAAGUUUUCCCACUUCAACUACUUACAAGAGCUCUAGCAUUCAAUUCUAGACACACCCAAGUGAUCAAAUCCUCUCCAAACUCCACACAACGCCCUAGUGAUUAGUGAGAGAGAUUUGCUUGUGUUCUUUCGAGCUCUUGCGCUUGGAUUGCUUUCUUCUUUCUUUGAUUCUUUAUUGCGAUGAAACUCACUUGUAAUUGAGGCAAGAGACACCAAUCUUGUGGUGGUCCUUGUGGGAACUUUGUGUUCCAAGCAUUUGAGAAGAGAAAGCUCACUCGGUCCGAGGGACCGUUUGAGAGAGGGAAAGGGUUGAAAGAGACCCGGUCUUUGUGACCACCUCAACGGGGAGUAGGUUUGCGAGAACCGAACCUCGGUAAAACAAAUCCACGUGUCACACUUCUUAUUCGCUUGCGAUUUGUUUUGCACCCUCUCUCGCGGACUCGAUUAUAUUUCUAACGCUAACCCGGCUUGUAGUUGUGAUUAUUUUUGAGAAUUUCAGUUUCGCCCUAUUCACCCCCCUCUAGGCGACUUUCAAUUGGUAUCAGAGGACGGUGCUUCAUUAGAGCCUAACCGCUCGAAGUGAUGUCGGGAGAACUCGCCAAGAAGGAGAUGGAGACCGGCGACAAGCCCGCUACAAGCCACGAGAAGGCUUCAUCGGGAGAGUCCCGCAACAAGGAGAAGAAGAAGGAGAAGAAGAAGGAGAAGAAGACUUCUUCUCACAAAUCGCAUCGGAGUGGCGACAAAAUAAAGAAGAUGAGGAAGGUGGUCUACUACGAGACCGACACUUCAUCACCUUCUACCUCCGGCUCCGACGCGCCCUCCAUAACUUCUAAGCGCCAUGAGCGCAAGAAGUUUAGUAAGAUCCCCUUACAUUAUCCUCAUACUUCUAGACAUACUCCAUUACUUUCCGUUCCAUUAGGCAAACCACCAACCUUUGACAGUGAAGAUUAUGCUAGGUGGAGUGAUUUAAUGAAAUUUCAUCUAACCUCACUCCACAAAAGUAUAUGGAAUGUUGUUGAGUUUGGAGCACAGGUACCAUCCGUAGGGGAUGAGGAUUAUGAUGAGGACGAAGUGGCCCAAAUCGAGCACUUCAACUCCCAAGCCACAACCAUACUCCUCGCCUCUCUAAGUAGGGAGGAGUACAACAAGGUGCAAGGACUAAAAAGCGCCAAGGAAGUUUGGGACGUGCUCAAGACGGCGCACGAGGGUGAUGAACUCACCAAAAUAACCAAGCGGGAAACGAUCGAGGGGGAGCUCGGUCGCUUCCGUCUACGCCAAGGGGAGGAGCCACAAGAUAUGUACAACCGGCUCAAGACCUUGGUGAAUCAAGUGCGCAACCUCGGGAGCAAGAAAUGGGAUGACCACGAGGUGGUUAAGGUUAUUUUAAGAUCACUUAUUUUCCUUAACCCUACUCAAGUACAAUUAAUUCGUGGUAAUCCAAGAUAUACACUAAUGACUCCCGAGGAAGUAAUCGGGAAUUUUGUGAGCUUUGAAUUUAUGAUUAAGGGCUCACGGAAGAUCAACGAGCUUGACGGUCCCUCCACGUCCGAAGCUCAACCGGUUGCAUUCAAGGCGAUGGAGGAUAAGAAGGAGGAAUCUACACCAAGUAGACAACCAAUCGACACCUCCAAGCUCGAUAAUGAGGAAAUGACGCUCGUCAUCAAGAGCUUCCGCCAAAUCCUCAAGCAAAGGAGGGGGAAGGAUUACAAGCCCCGCUCCAAGAAGGUUUGCUACAAGUGUGGUAAGCCCGGUCACUUUAUUGCAAAAUGUCCUAUUUCUAGUGACAGUGACAGGGGCGAUGACAAGAAGGGGAGAAGAAAGGAGAAGAAGAGGUACUACAAGAAGAAGGGCGGCGAUGCCCAUGUUUGUCGGGAGUGGGACUCCGACGAAAGCUCUAGCGACUCCUCCGACGACGAGGACGCCGCCAACAUCGCAGUCACCAAGGGACUUCUCUUCCCCAACGUCGACCACAAGUGCCUCAUGGCAAAGGACGGCAAAAAGAAGAAGGUUAAAUCUAAAUCCUCCACUAGAUAUGAGUCUUCUAGUGAUGAAAAUGCUAGUGAUGAGGAAGAUAACUUACACACUCUUUUUGCCAACCUAAACAUGCAACAAAAAGAAAAGUUAAAUGAAUUAAUUAGUGUCAUCCAUGAAAAGGAUGACCUCUUGGACACCCAAGAGGACUUCCUAAUCAAGGAAAACAAAAAGCAUGUUAAGAUUAAAAAUGCUUAUGCUCUAGAAGUUGAAAAAUGUGAAAAAUUAUCUAGUGAGCUAAGCACUUGCCAUGAGACUAUAGACAACCUUAGAAAUGAGAAUUCUAAUCUGUUAGCUAAGGUUGAUUCUAUUGCUUGUAAUGAUUCAAUUCCCAAUCUUAGGAAUGAUAAUGAUGAUUUGCUUGCUAAGAUUGAAGAAUUAAACUUAUCUCUUGUUAGCCUUAGGAAUGAAAAUGAAAAAUUAAUUGCUAAGGCUAAAGAUUUUGAUGUUUGCAAUGCUACUAUUUUCGACCUUAGAACUAAGAAUGAUAUAUUGCAUGCUAAGGUUGUAGAAUUAAAAUCUUGCAAACCCUCUACAUCUACCGUUGAGCACACUUCUAUUUGUACUAGAUGUAGAGAUGUUGAUGUUAAUGCUAUACAUGAUCACAUGGCUUUAAUUAAACAACAAAAUGAUCAUAUAGCAAAAUUAGAUGCUAAAAUUGCCGAGCAUGAAAUUGAAAAUGAAAAAUUUAAAUUUGCUCGUAGUAUGCUUUAUAGUGGGAGACACCCUGACAUUAAGGAUGACAUUGGCUUCCAACAAGGAGGCAAUGUCAAACUUAAUGCCCCUCCUAAGAAAUUGUCCAACUUUGUUAAGGGCAAGGCUCCCAUGCCUCAGGAUAACGAGGGUUACAUUUUAUACCCUGCCGGUUAUCCCGAGGACAAAAUUAGGAGAAUUCAUUCUAGGAAGUCUCACUCUGGCUCUAACCAUGCUUUUAUGUAUAAGGGUGAGACAUCUAGCUCUAGGCAACCAACCCGUGCUAAGUUGCCUAAAAAGAAAACUCUUAGUGCAUCAAAUGAACAUAACUUUUCAUUUAAAACUUUUGAUGCAUCUUAUGUUUUAACUAACAAAUCCGGCAAAGUAGUUGCCAAAUAUGUUGGGGGCAAGCACAAGGGGUCAAAGACUGAUGUUUGGGUACCCAAAGUUCUUGUUUCUAAUGCCAAAGGACCCAAAACCAUUUGGGUACCUAAAGUCAAGAACUAAAUAUGUUUUAUAGGUUUAUGCAUCCGGGGGCUCAAGCUGGGUAAUCGACAGCGGGUGCACAAACCACAUGACAGGGGAGAAAAAGAUGUUCUCCUCCUAUGAGAAAAACCAGGAUCCCCAACGAGCUAUCACAUUCGGGGAUGGAAACCAAGGUUUGGUCUAUAUCCCCUGACCAUUCCAUUUCCAAUGUUUUUCUUGUUGAUUCAUUAGAUUACAAUUUGCUUUCCGUUUCUCAAUUAUGCAAAAUGGGUUACAACUGUCUCUAUUUACUGAUGUAGGUGUCACUGUCUUUAGAAGAAGUGAUGAUUCAAUAGCAUUUAAGGGAGUGUUAGAGGGUCAGCUAUACUUAGUGAAUUUUGAUAGAGCUGAACUCGACACUUGCUUAAUUGCUAAGACUAACAUGGGCUGGCUCUGGCAUCGCCGACUAGCACAUGUUGGGAUGAAGAAUCUUCAUAAGCUUCUAAAGGGAGAGCACAUUUUAGGAUUAACAAAUGUUCAUUUUGAGAAAGACAGGAUUUGUAGCGCAUGCCAAGCAGGAAAGCAAGUUGGUGCCCAUCAUCCACAGAAGAACAUCAUGACGACCGACAGACCACUGGAGCUCCUACACAUGGAUCUAUUCGGCCCGAUUGCUUACAUAAGCAUCGGCGGGAGUAAGUACUGUCUAGUUAUUGUGGAUGAUUAUUCUCGCUUCACUUGGGUGUUCUUUUUGCAGCAAAAAUCUCACACCCAAGAGACCUUAAAGGGAUUCUUGAGACGGGCUCAAAAUGAGUUCGGCUUGAGGAUCAAGAAAAUUAGAAGCGACAAUGGGACGGAGUUCAAGAACUCUUGAUAGUCGCCUAGAGGGGGGGUGAAUAGGGCGAAACUGAAAUUUACAAAUAUAAACACAACUACAAGCCAGAUUAGCGUUAGAAAUAAAACGAGUCCGCGAGGGAGGAUGCAAAACAAAUCUCAAGCAAAUAAGGAGUGUGACACAAGGAUUUGUUUUACCGAGGUUCGGUUCUCGCAAACCUACUCCCCGUUGAGGUGGUCACAAAGACCGGGUCUCUUUCAACCCUUUCCCUCUCUCAAACGGUUCCUCCGACCGAGUGAGCUUCUCUUCUCAAAUCAAAACCGGGAACAAAACUUCCCCGCAAGGGCCACCACACAAUUGGUGCCUCUUGCCUUGAUUACAAUGGAGUUUUGAUCACAAGAACAAGUGAGAAAGAAAAGAAGCAAUCCAAGCACAAGAGCUCAAAAGAACACGUCAAAUCUCUCUCGCUAAUCACUAAAGCCUUUGUGUGGAAUUGGAGAGGAUUUGAUCUCUUUGGUGUGUCUAGAAUUGAAUGCCUAGCUCUUGUAAGUGGUUGAGAAGUGGAAAACUUGGAUGCAAUGAAUGGUGGGUGGUUGGGGGUAUUUAUAGCCCCAACCACCAAACUAGCUGUUUGGUGGGGCUGACUGUCGUAUGGUGCACCGGACAGUCCGGUGCACACCGGACAUGUCUGGUGCGCCAGCCACGUCACCAAAGCCGUUGGGUUCCGACCGUUGGAGCUCUGUCUUCUGGGCCCGCCUAGAUGUCCGGUGGCGCACCGGACAUGUACUGUAGAGUGUCCGGUGCGCCAGCAUGGGCGUGCCUGACUUCUGCGCGCGCUGGCGCGCAUUUAAUGCACUCGCAGGUAGCCGUUGGCGCCGAAGUAGCCGUUGCCUCGCAGUUACACCGGACAGUCCGGUGUACACCGGACAUGUCCGGUGAAUUAUAGCGGAGCAGCCGUUGCGAAUUCCCGAGGCAGCCAAGUUCCAGAGUUGCAUCCUCUUGGAGCAACGGACACUGUCCGCUGUACACCGGACAGUCCGGUGAAUUAUAGCGCGCCGGCUCUGAAAAUUCCCGAGGCUGAGGAGUUCAGCGCGAAGUCCCCUGGUGCAUCGGACACUGUCCGGUGGCACACCGGACAGUCCGGUGCGCCAGACCAGGGAGCCUUUCGGGAUGCCUUUAGCUCUCAAUUUUGAACCCAACAUUGGUCUUUUUAAUUGGCUUGUUGUGAACCUUGGGCACCUGCAUAACUUAUACACUAGAGCAAACUAGUUAGUCCAAUUAUUUGUGUUGGGUAAUUCUACCACCAAAAUUAUUUAGGAACUAGGUGUAAACCUAAUUCCCUUUCAAUCUCCCCCUUUUUGGUGAUUGAUGCCAACACAAAUCAAAGCAAAUAUAGAAGUGCAUAAUUGAACUAGUUUGCAUAAUGUAAGUGCAAAGGUUGCUUGGAAUUGAGCCAAUAUAAAUACUUACAAGAUAUGCAUGGAUUGUUUCUUCAUUUUUAACAUUUUGGACCACGCUUGCACCAUAGAUUUUGUUUUUGCAAAUUCUUUUGUAAAUCCUUUUCAAAGUUCUUUUUGCAAAUAGUCAAAGGUAAAUGAAUAAGAUUUUACGAAGCAUUUUCAAGAUUUGAAAUUUUCUCCCCCUGUUUCAAAUGCUUUUCCUUUGACUAAACAAAACUCCCCCUAAAUGAGAUGCUCCUCUUAGUGUUCAAGAGGGUUUUGAUAUAUCAUUUUUGAAAUACUAAUGUCUCCCCGUUUUGAACACAAUAAGAUACCAAUUUGAAAAUACUCUUUGAAAAACUAGAUUUUUGAAAUUUGUGGUGGUGCGGUCCUUUUGCUUUGGGCUCAUACUUUCUCCCCCUUUGGCAUGAAUCGCCAAAAACUGAAUCAUUAGAGCCCUUUGAAUUACUCUCUCCUCCUUUGAUCAUAAAUAAAUGAGUGAAGAUUAUACCAAGAAUGAAGUCCUUUUGCUUUGAACUCUCCCCAAAAAGAUGGAGAGAUGCGCGGAGUGAUGGCGAAGGAUAAGUUACGGAGUGGAAGCCUUUGUCUUCGCCGAAGACUCCAAUUCCCUUUCAAUACACCUAUGACUUGGUUUGAAAUAGACUUGAAAAACACAUUAGUCAUAGCAUAUGAAAGAGACAUGAUCAAAGGUAUACAAAUUAGCUAUGUGUGCAAUUUAACAAAAGAAGUUCCUAGAAUCAAGAAUAUUUCGCUCAUGCCUAAGUUUGUUAAAAGUUUGUUCAUCAAGAGGCUUGGUAAAGAUAUCGGCUAAUUGAUCUUUAGUGUUAACAUAUGAAAUCUCGAUAUCUCCCUUUUGUUGGUGAUCCCUAAGAAAAUGAUACCGAAUGGCUAUGUGUUUAGUGCGGCUAUGCUCGACGGGAUUAUCCGCCAUCUUGAUUGCACUCUCAUUAUCACAUAGCAAAGGGACUUUGGUUAAUUUGUAACCGUAGUCCCGCAGGGUUUGCCUCAUCCAAAGCAAUUGCGCGCAACAAUGGCCUGCGGCAAUGUACUCGGCUUCGGCGGUGGAAAGAGCGACCGAAUUUUGCUUCUUUGAAGCCCAAGACACCAAGGAUCUUUCCAAGAACGGGCAAGUCCCCGAUGUGCUCUUCCUAUUGAUUUUACACCCCGCCCAAUCGGCAUCCGAAUAACCAAUCAAAUCAAAUGUGGAUCCCCUAGGAUACCAAAGCCCAAACUUAGGAGUAUAAACUAAAUAUUCAAGAUUCGUUUUACGGCCGUAAGGUGAGCUUCCUUAGGGUCGGCUUGGAAUCUUGCACACAUGCAAACGGAAAGCAUAAUAUCUGGUCGAGAUGCACAUAAGUAUAGCAAAGAACCUAUCAUCGACCGGUACACCUUUUGAUCGACGGAUUUACCUCCCUCGUCGAGGUCGAGAUGCCCAUUGGUUCCCAUGGGUGUCUUGAUGGGUUUGGCAUCCUUCAUUCCAAACUUGCUUAGAAUAUCUUGAGUGUACUUUGUUUGGCUUAGGAAGGUGCCUUCUUGGAGUUGCUUCACUUGAAAUCCUAAGAAAUACUUUAACUCCCCCAUCAUAGACAUCUCGAACUUUUGUGUCAUGAUCCUACUAAACUCUUCACAUGUAGAUUCGUUAGUAGACCCAAAUAUAAUAUCAUCAACAUAAAUUUGGCAUACAAACAAAUCAUUCUCAAGUGUUUUAGUAAAGAGUGUGGGAUCGGCUUUUCCGACUUUGAAACCAUUUGCAAUAAGAAAAUCUCUAAGGCAUUCAUACCAUGCUCUUGGGGCUUGCUUGAGCCCAUAAAGCGCCUUAGAGAGUUUAUAGACAUGGUUAGGGUACUCACUAUCUUCAAAGCCGGAAGGUUGCUCAACAUAGACCUCUUCCUUGAUUGGUCCAUUGAGGAAGGCACUUUUCACGUCCAUUUGAUAAAGCUUGAAGCCAUGGUAAGUAGCAUAGGCCAAUAAUAUGCAAAUUGACUCAAGCCUAGCUACGGGUGCAUAGGUUUCACCGAAAUCCAAACCUUCGACUUGGGAGUCUUGGCCACAAGUCGAGCUUUGUUCCUUGUCACCACAUCAUGCUCUCUUGCUUGUUGCGGAAGACCCAUUUGGUUCCUACAACAUUUUGAUUAGGACGUGGAACUAAAUGCCAUACCUCAUUCCUAGUGAAGUUGUUGAGCUCCUCUUGCAUCGCCACCACCCAAUCCGAAUCUUGGAGUGCUUCCUUUACCCUGUGUGGCUCAAUAGAGGAAACAAAAGAGUAAUGCUCACAAAAAUGUGCAACACGAGAUCUAGUAGUUACCCCUUAUGAAUGUCGCUGAGGAUGGUGUCGACGGGGUGAUCUCGUUGGAUUGCUUGGUGGACUCUUGGGUGUGGCGGCUGUCGGUGUUUUGGGUCCGACCGCACACCUGGGGAUGCCCCUCAAGGUGUUUUUAGGAGUAGGACGGUGUCGAUGACUAUAGCAAAUGGUUCGUGCCAGAUGCACGAGAGACAGUGGAUAAUGUUUGCAGGUUCGGGCCGCUUAGAGACGCGUAACACCCUACGUCCUGGUGAGUAUGCUUGGUGGACAAGGUUACAAGAGAGCUCUCUGAAUUGAGAAUGCAGAGAGUUGAUGUGGGUGGCUAAGUAAUAGGGUCGAUCGUUCUGAAGGGGUGCCCCCUAGGCCUUAUAUACUCGACCGUGGGGCAAUACAUGUGGAUAUGAUAACAACGUGUAGCUAAAAGAUAGUGAACUAUUUGAGUUUAUCUCCCUGUAGUUCUGCCGACUUAUCCUCGCAUGGCUCCGUUGCAUGGGGCUCCAGCGCGGGAAAGUCGGAUCUCUGUUGUGGUCGCUCGCUCGACGUUGUGGGUCGUCCGGGUUUGCACCAAUCCGGCCUCAUGUCGAUCUGCUUUACUGGUUGUCUCUCCCCAGGCCCACGAAAGAAUGAUCUUACGAUUUAUUGGGCCCUUGGGCCUUUCGUGAGGUCUUUUACUCUUUUAGUGGACCCGGGGAUAUCUAUCCCCCCACAAGCCCCCGAUCUUUGGGUUAAUUUAGAGGUAAUUAGCCCAAAGAUCCCAGGUCCAGCUUGCAGGUGAUUUGAAGAAAAUGACUUCUUAUUGUCUCCUCCUGCUUUGAUCACUCGUAGACCGAAGCUUUGUUUCGUGCUUGUGCCUUAGAGGUCGGCAUUUCAAUUUGUAGGAUUCUGAACUUCAUUGGGUGCACCGGCACCCAAUGGGUGUAGCCCCCGAGCUUCGAGUAGAUUUUAGAAAAUAAUCUACUCGAAGGUCCUCCCCAGAAAUUAUUUCCAUUUGUGCUCCUGUGUUUUGGUUGAGGGCCGGCCUUUUAAUCUUAUCCCACGCCUUAGAAGUCGGCACUAUCUUGGCUUGGAAUGAUAAUCCAUGGGGUGCACCGGAGGUGCACCCAAUGGGUGUAGCCCCCGACCUUCAAAUGGAUUUUUGAGGAUAAUCCAUUCGAAGGUCUUCCUUUUGUGUCUCUUUGCUGAAAAUUAUCCUUUCUGUUUGAAAAAAUUGGCAUGAAGCUAUCCGCAUUAUGCUUUGGAGGUCAGCAUUAUGUCAUCAAUAUUAUGCUUCAGAGGUCGGCAUAUAUUUUGUCUUUAGCAGCCGAGUUCGCAAUCCAUCCAUAUCUUGCUAGGUAGUGCAAUUUAUCUGCUCUGCGACUGAUUGGACGUUUGAUGGACGUUCUCUGUCUGGUCUUCACGUCGCUUCUGUCGGCCAUAUUUUGUACUUCACUGGCUAUAUUUGGCUUUCCUCUGAUCCUUACUGAUAUCUCAUUUUUGUCUUGAGGUAUUCACUGCGUGCCCUGCACAGAUGUGACCGUUUUGAAAAUAUACUGAUAAUUCCUGGGCGUCCCCCCCCCAAUGGGUGUGGGCAAGGGACGGCUUGGUACGCUGAGUGUUUUUAGCCGGCUGCUUCUGAGUAGUAAUGUGAUGUGACGGCGGGUGUAAUCAUAUCCUCCGCGCUGUUGACUGGAGUCCCAAUGGGUGUUGUGUUGCGUGAAACGGCGUCAGCCGCCUGACGUGUCUUCAGACGGGUUGAAGUUCUUAUUGAAUGCUUUGCGACUGUUCAGUGACCGCGGUUGGAGGUGAGCGGUUGCCUUCUCCUUCUAUAAAUAACGCCGUUGUCUCUCUGGCUUUUUCACAUCUCUCGUUGUUCUUUGUUGCUUCCCUUUCUUCUCUCCCUUUUGCUUCCACCAUGGGCAAGAACAAUAAGCGCAGCGUGAGCCAACUCCUCCAUCGGAGGAGUUUGGUGACUCGGAGUACUCAGAGGAGGAGUUCUCCUCUGAGUCUGAGGGGUCUCCGGCUCCCAUCCCCCUGCGUGAGUCGUCUGACGACUCAGACGACUCCAGGGGCUCGCGACGGAGGUCUGGACGUACAUCCGGGCCGUCGAGCGCUCCGGGCUCGAGGGCUCGGAUGAGUCGGAGUACUCCUCGGAUGAGGAGGACUCAGACGGCGGCGGCGAGGACGAGGACGACGACGACGAUGACGACGACGACGACGGUGGCGACGGUGACGGCAGCGGCAAGGGCGCGCGGCCGGCAGCAAGGACGGUGACGGAGGCAGCAGCAGGGGCAGCAACCGGGGCGGCAGCAGCAGGGGCAGCACCAGGGGCGGCACGACGGCGGUAGCAACAGGGCCAGUGGCUAGAUGCCACUGGUCUUUUAGAUAUUAGUAUAAUAUAGUUAGAAUAAUGUAGUAGUAGUGUAGAGUAGUAUAGCGUAGUGUAGUAGUAGUAGGGAAGUAUCAACUCGUAAAGAGUUGAUUUGUAAGUAUGUCAUCUUCCUCUCUAAUGAAAGAAUGAUGUUGGCUUCUCCUUGAUGAUUGUCCUGCUUAUUUGUGAAGCUAAUUCCUUUGAGACAGUAAGUGAAUAACUCGGGCAUCAAACUGAUGCUUUCAGAAAUAGCUGCCGAGUAACUUUGUAGAUGGUGUCGGCGCUUUAAGAGUAACUGCCGAGUGACUGAACACAAUAUCGGAGUUUUAGAGAUAACUGUCGAGCGACUGAAUACGAUAUCGCGUUUUAGAGGCAACGCCGAGUGACUGGAGGCGACAUCAGCGUUUUAGAGGUAACACCGAGCGACUGAACACGAUAUCAGCGUUUAGAGGCAACGCGAGUGAUAGCAGGCCGCGCGGGUCUCUUUGAGAUGAAAGCCGAGUGAUGAGGUGCGCACCGGUGUUCUGGAAAUAACUGCCGGUGCCACGUGCAUGCGGGGUUUUGAAAAUAACCGUCGGUGCUGACUGGGCACUUUUUGAGCGGUAUCUGGCUCGAGGAUAUCCAUAAGUGCUGCGCUUUAGCCGCCUUGCUUUCGUGCCCUAGUUCUUGCUUUCUGGCUUCCAAAUCCCCUCUGCAAUUCGCCUUCCACUCUGCUCGCGUAGAAUCGAGAUGGCGCCUAAGAGAAAACCGAGUUCGUCUGCUGUGGUGAUUCCUCCAACGACCCAACAGCGUUGCCUUUCGCAGUAACCACAUGUCCGCAUUUCUGAGCCUGAACUUCUCCAUCUUGUAUCUAUCGGGUUUCCUCGCGGAACUCUGUUCUUGGCGGAUUUGCCAUGGUUUACCGUUCCAACUGAGGAUACCCAUGAGUCCGUUGUCUAUGCCCCUUUCUUCUCCGCGGCCUGGCCUCCAUUUCUCCCUUUUCCGCGGCCUCCUUGAUUUCUACCAUCUUAACUUGACACCAUUUGAACCCCAAUUCAAAUUCCUGCAAAUCUCCAUUUUCGUUCAUUUUGCGAGCCUUUCUUGGCGUGCUGCGCAUUUCGGUCUGUGGAAAUACUUGUAUCAUUGUCGCCCUGGGAUGGCCGGGGGACAACAUCAAGUUGGUUGGGGGUGCCAGCUUGGAGAUGCGCCGCGGGAGAAGACUGAAUAUCUCGAGAUCCCUCUCAAGGACAGUAUCAAGGGAUGGCGCUUGGAGUGGUUCAUAGUUGAGAAUUAUGAGAAUUCUCUCCCCUCCGGUCGGGAAGACAGCCGGACGUUCGCACCCCAAGCUGGACCGAGUCUCCACAGAUCAAGGAAGUAGCUGAGGCAGGUGUUUGCUAGCUGAAGUUGGACUGCUGAAAGAGAGGGGUCUGACUGCUGAAGCCGUGGUUACUGAUUUUGUUUUCAAGAAUAUUUUGCCAUUGAAAGACAGGGCAUACCCAGCUUAUCUGUAUCGAGGCUAGCCGACUCAACUCGGGUUACCAACGAAAGAAUUCUCUCUGCAGACUUGGUGACGACUUGAAUGAUCCUUAGGGGCAAGUGUCAAAUGUUGGUGCUCCAGUGGCAUACUUGGCCUGGACCUCGCUCCCAAAGCCUUCACCUUUUUGCGUCGAAUCCACUGUCACUGAUGCAGUUUGGCCUUAGAGUGCGACCCUCUGCUGAUGAAGUUAGUGCCUUGUUGCUUCGCUUGGGGAGAUUCCUGUGAUGACGGUAGGUCCAUUUUGAGUGCCCUUGAACCUAGGAUGCGAGAUAAAGUGCUAUCUUGAUUUGUUGGCUGAGGAUUCUCGACGCUGCUCCUGCUGGGGCGUUGAGUGGCGCCCCUCCCAGAGUGCUAUACAACUUGGAUACUCAGAACCUAUCAUACUCGCCCGAGCGCCCUGCCGAGCCAACAGCCUGAUCCUUCUGCUAUGAGCAGGAAAGAAGAAAAAAAGAAGAGCCUCCGGGAGUUACCAGUUUGAUCGGACGGCUGGUACCUCGGUUCUGCUACUGAGAAGUGCCUGACGACUGGAUUACUGAUCUGACCCCAAUGGUGUACCCAAUCGCUGCUGACCCAAUGUGGUGCUCCAUAUGUUGCUGAUCCAAUGGGGUGCUGCUUGUGUGCCAAUGUGUGAUGACAAAAAGGAAGAAAAUGAAAUCCUUGACUCGAAACUCGGCAGUUCAUCGCCAGCGUGAAGAUAGUGGAGUCCCUCUCCUGCUUGUCCUGCAAAACUGUCCCUGCAACUUUGAUCAGACUCUUGAGGAUAUGGUCCCAGAGACUUGUAUCGAGCCAGUGGAUGAUGUGCAAUGGAGGUUGCGCUGACGUGCUGAUGCUGGUUGAGGUCAUCCGUGCCUCGUCGACCUUAAGAGCGCGAUCUCGAGGUCGGAGAACUGACUUGGAUCGUCCUGGUCCUAUGGAAGUAGAGAGGCCCUCAGCCUUAGAGGUGGCUCUGCAGAGAACUGACCCAAGGAUGUGCUGACACAUGCCAGCCCCCGAGAGCGCCGGGGAGGACUUGCUCGGGUGGGAGUGUAAGCCACUGCCCAGCCCCAGGGUGCUGCGGGGAUGAUCCGGCUCAAGUGGGCAGUGCAAACUAUGACCCAGCCCCCGAGGGUCCCGAGCGGGUUCCCUCCUGUACUUCCAUGGACGUUCAUGCGGGAUCUCCCCUCACACUCUGCUUAUGGUGUAGCCCAAACCUUGGACCAGGGAGUCGCUUUAGAGGGCAGCGUCCCCGCUGACCGAGUUUGGCUCUGUUGAAGGCACCAAUGAUUCCUACUGGUUCGUUGCAAGCUGCUCGGGUGGUGGCCUUAACCCUGAUUAUCAACUGAUCUCUCUGAUUUGGGGAUCCCUUCGUUCUUUUCAACCCCAGGUACCGUGAUGUUAUUUUAGCUUGAUUUUACAUUGCAUGAACUGCUGUCAUUACACUCAUCUGUUCUCCCAUCAGCUUUGGAGAUGGAUGGCUAGCCAGCGAGGUUACAGGGUGCUUCCCCAGAAGUAGCUUCGUCUCUUCAUGUUGGAAUCAGUCACUUCAACACGCUCUCUGAAUUGGAGCAACCAACACUGGUUAGUGCUUUUUGCUUCUCUUUGCCUUCAUGUGACUGCUUACAUUCUGACCCCUUUUUGUUUGAAUACUCCUGCUAGGAAUGACUCGGCAGAUUUCAACUCUUGAGGAAAAACACUCCGAGAUCAGCUGAAUUGGUCAGCGGUGCGCUGACUUGAGGAGAAGUACUCUCAAGCCAAACUGAACUGGGUCAGUCUCCGCUGCCUUGGAUGACCAAUGCACUGAGUUCUCUCUUCAUGCUCAGCUCAAUUCUGAAAAGGUAAUUUACAAAACUGUGCUUGCCUUGCUGUGUUCCUAUUACUUGCUUGGUUUUUGAGGGAGUUGACUUUUUGCUGCAGGAAGAAAAGGUAUCCUUGCUGCUUCUCGUGACAGUCUUGACAGAUUGUAUCGUGAUUCUAGCAACUCGCUGACCAUCUUGGAGAGGAGUCACCGCUUUACAAUGGAAAUUGGACAAUCAACGCUGUAAGCUGCAGGAAUCCGCGGAUAAGUGACCGCUCAAGCAGUUGAUAUCAGCGAAGGAUGCUACCAUCAAAGAACUCCGACUUCCAAGAAAUCCAUUGUCCCGGAGUUAGAAACUGCUCGACUGGCUGCUAAGGUUGCCGAAGAAACUUCUGUUACUCUCAGAGCCCACGCGACAGAGCCAUGGACAAGGCUAUUCGGGCGGGGCGAAUCUUGAUGAGGAGACCCGGCGUGGUUGUUCCUGAAGACAUAAGGGCUGAUUGAAUGCUGCCCUGAUUCCUCGAGUCGCCCUUCUUCGUCGUCGCUCCUGAGAAAGAUAUUGCAAAUAGAGAAACAUUUUGCGUGCUUUGAGCGCGCGGUUAGCAUGAUCGAAUAUUUGUUAGAGGACAUCGUUCAGCAUUCGAAUGAUAUAAUUACUCUCUUAUUGUUUCAGAAUUCAUCAGUUCGUAAAUUUGCAGUAGUGAAAUGACGCAAUGGUUAUGAAAUUGUUUGCGGGAUAUAGAAGUCAUCCUUGUAUGAGUAAUUAUAAUUAGUCAGAUCGCCUAAGUCGCUGCUGACUUAAGUCGAUUGUUUUGUUAAUAGGGCGUAGUGGUCACCCUGAAUUGCAUAGCGUGAGCAUGUUGCACCGGCUUAAGUCGCCAUGACUUAGCCGAUUGCUCCUUAGUAGGGCAUAGUGGUCACCCGAUUAAGUAAGCGUGAGCAUGUUGCACCGCCUUAAGUCGUUGCCGACUUAAGUCGAUUGCUCCGUUAUAGGGCAUAGUGGUCACCCCGAGUUAAGUAAGCGUGAGCAUGUUGCACCGCCUUAAGUCGUUGCCGACUUAAGUCAUUGCUCCGUUAGUAGGGCAUAGUGGUCACCCGAGUUAAGUAAGCGUGAGCAUGUUGCACCGCCUUAAGUCGUUGCCGACUUAAGUCCGAUUGCUCCGUUAGUAGGGCAUAGUGGUCACCGAGUUAAGUAAGCGUGAGCAUGUUGCACCGCCUUAAGUCGUUGCCGACUUAAGUCGAUUGCUCGUUAGUAGGCAUAGUGGUCACCCGAGUUAAGUAGAAUGCAAGUCAAUCGUAACAAACUGAGUAUCUUUGAACCUCUUUUUUAUUGAUGACAUAUUUCCACUUUACAGAGUACAUCGUCGUCCCGCAGCUUUUGAAAUACAGCUAGGGAUAAAACUUCUGAGGUGUUCUAGUUCCAGGAGUUCCCGACUUCUGUGCCAUCCAUCUGAGUGAGACGAUAUGAUCCGGGCCGAGUGACUUCUGCUACCAUGAAGGGUCCUUCCCAUAAGGGCGAUAACUUGUGCCGUCCCUCCCCCGUUAGAAUUCGGCGGAGGACGAGAUCUCCUACUGAGAAGGAUCGUGUCGCACAGCCUUGUCGUGAUAGCGCCUUAGAGUCUGCUGGUACCGUGCUGAUUGGAUUACCGCAUUUAGCCGUUCUUCUUCAAGUAAUCAAUGUCCUCCAGCCUGGUGGCUCGCUUCUGCUAUGUUUUGAAGAUCAACCUUGGCGCCCGAACUUGAGAUCGGCGGGUAGCACUGCCUCGACCCAUAGACCAUGAAGAAAGGAGUGUUUCCAUGCAAGCUCGGCUGGUUGGGUUCUUAGGCUCCAAACGACAUAGGGCAAUUCCCUUAUCCACUUUCCUGCGAAUUUUCAUUCUUUCGAAGACCUUUUUCCUGAGUGCCUCCAGUAUCAUCCCGUUGGCUCGCUCAACCUGCCCGUUGGCUCUUGGAUGUGCUACAGAUGCAUACUUGAUCUGAAUGCUCUUUUGCUCGCAGAAGUCGAAGAACUCUGAACUUGUGAAGUUGGAUCCUAAGUCAGUUAUGAUGCUGUUUGGUAUCCCGAAUCUGAAUAUUAUGUCUUGUAUGAAUUCCACGGCCUUAGCAGAGGUUAAAGAAGCAAUGGGCUUGAACUCUAUCCAUUUAGUGAAUUUGUCGAUUGCUACCAAUACAUGAGUGUAUCCCCCUUGAGCUUUCUUGAAAGGUCCAAUCAUAUCCAGUCCCCAGCAUGCGAAAGGCCAAGUUACUGGUAUGGUCGCAGUUGCUGUGCUGGCAGAUGUUGUUGCUUUGACAAGUAUUGGCAAGCUUCGCACCUCUGAACUAACUCGGCUGCAUCGCUUUGCUGUUGGCCAAUAGAAUCCUGACCUGAAGACCUUCCCGACUAGUGUUCUGGAGGCUGCAUGUAUUCCACAUUGCCCAGCAUGGACCUCCUCCAGAAGUUGCUUCCCAUAGACGGGAGAAUGCACUUCAUGAGGACGCCUGAUGCACCCCUUCGUACAAUGUCUCCCCAAUGAGUGUGUAGUGAGCCGACUGUCUGGCAAUGCGCUCGGCCGAGUUCUUGUCAUCUGGUUCUCUUUCAUUCUUUAUAUACUUGAUGAUUGGCCUUCUCCAGUCAUCAGAGUCUGACUCGGUUGAUCUAUAAUGUUGCACUCUUCUGUUUGAUCCAUUGAGAUACUCGGUGUAGUAUUUCUUGCACAAAGACUCCGGGUGGGACCUGAGUUCGACUGGAUCCUAGCUUGGACAGUACAUCGGCUGCUGUGUUCCGAUCUCUUUCUACGUAUGAAAUUCCAGACCCUCAAAUUUAUCUUCCCUUUCGGACGCAGCGCAGUAUUUUCCAUUGAAUCGCUUGAACAAUCCCACUCUUUUUUCUGGCUAAUGACUACCAGAGAGUCUCCGUAUACCAUCAACUCUUGAUGCCCAAUGAAUGGCGAUGUUCAAUCCAUGGAUCAGAGCUUCAUACUCGGCUGCAUUGUUGGAGGCCGGAAAUAGCAACUGGAGGGCUAUUUGAGGUGCUCGCCUCCAGGUGCGGGAAGAGAAUCCCUGCUCCUGCUCCCUGCAGCUUCAGCGAGCCAUCAAAAUACAUUCCCAUACUUCUGCAUCUCUGGGUUAUCUGGUACUUGCUGCAGUCCACUCUGAUACGAAAUCAACCAGUGCUUGAGUUUUGAUGGCAGUGCGAGGUCGGAACUCGAUGUCAUGAGAUCCCACUCACAAGCCCAUUGGCUAUCCGGCCAAUGGCUUCCUUGUUGUGAAGAAUAUCCCCUAUUGGAAAACCAGUGACUACUAUGACUUUGUGGUCAUCAAAGUAGUGACGUAGCUUGCGGGCAGUUAGAAGUACUGCGUAUAAUAGCUUCUGAACUUGAGGAUACUUUUUCUUUGAGGGCCUAGAACUUCACUGAUGAAUAAACAGGAUGUUGCACUGGGUAGGCAUGUCCUUCUUCUACUCGCUCGACUACCAACGCGGUGCUUACCACGUGAGUCGUGCAAGAGAUAUACAGUAGCAGAUCUUCAGCUGGUUGAGUUGACGUAGCUCGUCGGGGUGGCUUCAGUACUGGUGGUGUUGUCAAGAAUUUCUUCAGUGCAUCUAGAGCUUCCUGUGCUUCUGAAGUCCAUGAAAUUAUCUCUUGAGUAGCUUGUAAAACGGCAAACCUUUUUCCCCGCCUGGAUAUAAAUCUGCUCAGAGCUGCCAUACAUCCAGUAAGUCGCUGAACCUUCUUUUGUGAUCGAGGCGCUUCCAUCUUCAUGAUAGCUUCAAUCUUAUCCGGAUUAGCCUCAAUUCCUCGGUGGCUGACGAUAAACCCGAGUAACUUUCCUGCUGGUACCCCGAAAACACAUUUUUCAGGAUUAAGCUUCCAUCUAUACGUCUCAGACUGUUGAAAACCAGCUGUAAGUCUUCGAUGAAGUUUUCCGAAUUCUCCGUUUUGAUUACCACAUCAUCUACGUAGGCCUCCACAGCUUGCCCCAGUGAUCGGCUAAGCAGUGUUUGAAUGGCUCUCUGAUAAGUCGCUCCAGCGUUUUUGAGGCCGAACGGCAUGGAGGUAUAACAGAAAGCACCAAACGGAGUGAUGAACGUGUUUUUUCCUCGUCUUCCUUCGCCAAACUAAUCUGAUGGUAUCCGGAAUAGCAAUCCAAGAAAGACAGCACAAACAUCCAGCGGUGGAGUCCACCACCUGAUCUAUCCUCGGGAGCCCGAAGGGAUCCUUCGGACAGUGUUUGUUGAGAUCGUAUAGUCGACGCACAUGCGCCAAUCCACUUUAUUCUUUUUGAGUACAAGAACAGGGUUGGCUAACCACUCGGGGUGUAACACUUCUCUAAUAAAUCCAGCCGCGACCAAGCGAGCUAACUCGGCGCGAAUGGCCCUCUCUUGUCGGGCGUGAAACGACGUAGCUUUUGCCGAAUCGGCCUUGCCUGGGGAUAGACCUUCAGUUUGUGCUCGGCCAGUUCUCUUGGGACUCCCGGCAUAUCCAGGUUGCCAUGCGAAUACAUCUCGGUUAUCUUGCAGAAACUGGACGAGCGCGCUUUCCUAUUUGUCGUCCAAGCUGGAGCUGAUGAUGGCAGUCUUGCGUUCAUCAGCGAACCCAGGUUGAUCCUCUUGGUUUCUUCAGUCGGCCGCAUAGAGGUCGCGGCCUGAGCUUCGUUUGCCGGUACUGCAAGGUCCUCCUCAGGCUUGAGUUCGCCAGUGUGAAGAAACCGCCGACGCUUGGUGGUGAGGGCUGCUUGGAUGGCCACUCGAAAACACUUGCGGCGCCUUGGAAGUCGGCGCGCACAGUUAUGAUUCCUUGCGGUCCUGGCAUCUUCAGUAUCAUAUACGUGUAAUGGGGAUGGCCAUGAAUUUGGCCAGUCCCGGCCUCCCGAUGAUGGCGUUGUACCCGCAGUCGAAGUUCGCCAUUCGAACCUCAGGAACUCGGUUCUGUAGUUCUCCGGAGUUCCGAAGGUGACUGGCAUGUAGAUGUGGCCCAGCGGGUAUUCCCUUCCGUCGGCACGAUGCCGAAGAAAGGAGUGUCCGACUCUGGAGCUCUUUGAGGUGAACUCCCAAGCCUUGGAGUGUCCGGGGGAAGGUGACGUUGAUGCUGCUCCCCCCUCACUAGCACCUUCUUACCCGGCUCUCUCGGAUCACCGGAUCGACGAGGACGGGUAUUUGCCUGGAUGGUCGAAGUUGAGCCAUUGAUCCUCCCAGUGAAAGUGAUCGGGUGCUCCGACCACCGGUAUGGGGCGGAGGACCGGUGGUCGCCACCAGUAUCUGGCGGUCGUUGAGCUUUUGUUGUCUUUUGUUCUCCUGCGACCCAUGUCCCCGAAGAUGACGUUGACCCCCUGUCGAGCGCGGGAAAGCUCCUCCUCCUCCCUCCUCCUGCUGAUGGGGUUGUCGUGGUUCAUCUGGUCCUCCCCGGCGGAGGAGGAUAGAGGUUGGAAGGGUCAGCCGUGUCCGACGGAGUGCUUGAAGUCCCGGCAGUUACGAAGAGUGUGGCGCAUGUCCUUGUGGUACGGGCACUGGGCGUCGAGGAUGUCGUCCAGCGUGCGUUCGCCUCCACGAGGUCCUCCUCGGGCGCGAGAGGCAGGUGGUCCGGCGGCGUGUACUUCUUCGCGAGGCCUCUUCUCCCAUCGUUUGUCGGGUUGCUGGUUCGCGUCGCGUCGUGGUGCUGCCGGUGCGGGCUUUGCUCCUCCGAUGAGGUCCUGGGCCCGCUCGUCGGCGGUGAUGUAGAGGUCGGCUUCCCGGAACAGCUCCUCGGAGGUAGUCGGCGCCUUCUGUAGUAUGGCUCGGACGAAAGCCGAGUCAUUGGAUCCUCUGUAGAAGUCCUCGAUCACGGCCGCCUCCGUGACCUCGGGAUACGAUUUCUCAUGGUCUGGAACCUUUUGAGGUACGACCGGAGAGUCUCGUCCCCCGGCGCUUGAUGGAUUUGAGGUCCCACGGUUGCGCCGGUUUGUCGGAGAGGGACUGGAAUUGGCGGUGAAGCGUCGACUGAAGUCGCCCCAGUCGUCGAUGCAGUGUCGGGGUAGAUGUCGCAGCCAUUGCAGCGCGUCUUGCCCAAGGACAAUGGGUAAAUACGCGGUCAUCACGUCUUCGGACGCCCCGGCAGCUCGAGCAGCGGUGGUGUAGACGGCUAGCCAACCCCUGGAUCCUGCUUAGGUUCAUAUUUGUCGACAUUGGAUACCUUGAAGUUGGGAGGCCAUUGGAUGGCCCUAAGGCGCGGAGUAAGAGCAGACACUCCGCACGUGUCCUCCUGUCGUCGGGGAUGAUGUCUUCCCGGGGAGGGGAGUAGUGUUGUGGUUCCUCGACCGUCCCCGGGUGGUACCGCCAGUUGAGGCCGUUGCCGACUCAGUUCUGGUGGCCUGGCUCGAGCUGGGAUGCCAUGAUCCCGUCGUACUCCUCCCGGCGGCGGAUCUCGUUCUCAUGCCGUCUUCGCGCGAAGCAUUGAUGGAGCUUCGCGCGUCUCGGCGACUGUUGAUGGCGUGUCGUAGAUCGUUCGGCGGGUGAGCAAGCGGUAGAAGAUGGUUGGCCGCCUGGGUGAACAGUCGUCGAGCCCUCACGUCGGAGUCCGAGGAGUCCAUCAGCUAUCCGAGCUAGUACUCCUCCGACUUCGCUCGGCGUGUUCAUGGCUCGGGCGAAGUCGGGUUCAGGUUGCGCCGAAGAAUGGAUUCUCCCGGCGUUGCCUUGCAUCUUGCUCGGCUUGUUCCUGAGCCCGUCGGCGAUCACGUCGUCGGGAGUUCCUUCGUUCUCUGAAGACGCGUUCUUCCGGAGUUUCUCCUAUCUCCGAGACCUCGUCUCCGAGACAGGUUGCUCCGAUCCCUUCUCCGGCCGCGUGAUGUCGUCGAACGUUCCUGCGCCGGUUCCCCGUCGGCGGGAUUCUCGUUGAGGCGGUUCUUCUCCGGGUGCGGUCGGCUCGCGUCGGAGACGGUGGCGACUCCCUCUCCGAUGAAGAGGACGUCGGGUAGAAUGGUGCUGCUGUCGGGCGACCUUCUUUCCGUUCUCCUUUGAGGGCGGAGGAACGGAAAGAACAACUUGCUUCUCCUUCUCCUUCUUCCUCGCGAUCUGUGUCCAUUCUUUUGUCGGGAAGUAGACAGUGGAGUUCUCCGGGUCAGCGGGCCCUCGGCCCCGACUUUCCGGAGACGAUCUUUUUCCGGAGAGCUGGAGGUUGCGCUUCUCCGGCAUUUUGGAGUUUGUUGGAGGAGACUUCUUUUCCGGGGAUCCGCAAUGCGGUGUAGAGUUCCCUCUUCAUCGCACGAUGAGAUUGUUCCGAAAGCAAAUAUGGAUCCGGGACGCAGGGUGAUCUUGCUGUAGAGGUGACGGCCAUUGAGCUAGCUUGGAUCGUCGACACACCCCCUACCUGGCGCGCCAGCUGUCGGUGUUUUGGGUCCGACCGCACACCCGGGGUUGCCCCUCAAGGUGUUUUUAGGAGUAGGACGGUGUCGACGACUGUAGCAAAAUGGUUCGUGCCAGAUGCACGAGGACAGUGGACAAUGUUUCAGGUUCGGGCCGCUUAGAGACGUAACACCCUACGUCCUGGUGAGUAUGCUUGGUGACAAGGUUACAAGAGAGCUCUCUGAUUGAGAAUGCAGAGAGUUGAUGUGGGUGGCUAAGUAAUAGGGCGAUCGUUCUGAAGGGGUGCCCCCUAGGCCUUAUAUACUCGACCGUGGGGCAAUACAUGUGAUAUGAUAACAACGUGUAGCUAAAAGAUAGUGAACUGUUUGAGUUUAUCUCCCUGUAGUUCUGCCGACUUAUCCUCGCAUGGCUCCGUUGCAUGGGGGCUCCAGCGCGGGAAAGUCGGAUCUCUGUUGUGGUACGCUCGAUCGACGUUGUGGGUCGUCCGGGUUUGCACCAAUCCGGCCUCAUGUCGAUCUGCUUUGCUGGUUGUCUCUCCCCAGGCCCACGAAAGAAUGACCUUACGAUUUAUUGGGCCCUUGGGCCUUUCGUGAGGUCUUUUACUCUUUUAGUGGACCCGGGGUAUCUAUCNNNNNNNNNNNNNNNNNNNNNNNNNNNNNNNNNNNNNNNNNNNNNNNNNNNNNNNNNNNNNNNNNNNNNNNNNNNNNNNNNNNNNNNNNNNNNNNNNNNNGAACAGAGUUUAAAAAAACUUAUUGACUCGACAACGAUUGAGCAUGGCGGAUGGAAUUGAUCGAACAGAACUAAUACUGUCUUCACUGAUAGUGUAAAUAGAAAACACGGAACUGUAGAUGACACUGUUUGCAAAAUGAAGUUUGAAAUAUGAGAUGUGAUAGGGAAUCUGCUGGAGAUAGCCUAAAAAAACUUACCGAUUCACAAUGACUGAUAUAGAAAUAUGUCUUAGAUACUAACAUGCAACCGAGCUUUCUGAUCCAUUAAAUCAUGAUCAAGCCUAUUUAGACAUCAGUCGUUGCUCAUCGACUCACGGUAGCAUUAGUUGUGAAUCUGAUCAGGUGCCGUUAAGCUGAAUCCGAUGAUUGGUCAUCUCUUUCUAAAGGAUUGGCUGACAACUGCGGUGGCGUCAUGAGAACUGAGAAUCCGCCGCUGUGCCGCCGACGCGUCGCCACCUGUGACCUGUGUCCGUAGAGCCCGUGCGGACAGCUGGGACCGGAGGCAGACUCCCACUCGAACUUGCCCACCUCGACGGUUGUUCUACGGUUUGGUUCAUUGAACCUGGCCUGGCCCUUCAACACUCCCCAAGGCCAGCCAAGCCAAGGCCGCCAAGGGGCGUCCGGACUCCGGCGUCUCCUCCUUGCUUCUGCCCAGCCACAGCAAGCCCUGCCUCCCGUCCCGCCCUCCGCUCUCCGCCUACACCUUCUCCCGUCCAAGACCACACGCGCACAGAAAAAAGUACAGCUGGUCAGUGGUCCUGGUCAGCUGCUCCCGUACAAAAAGCGCACCACAAGCGGCGGCCAAGCCGUCCGCUGCCCCCCGCAUCGCCAUGGCUCUCGCCGUGCGCACGCCCCGCUUCCAGCCUCGACCGGCCUCCAUUUCUGCGCCCGCAACACCCGCCUCGAAUUCCCUCGCCGCCGCCGCCGCCGCGAACGCGAGGCCCCGCACCUGCGCCGGCGCCGCCGUCCGCGCUUCGCCCUUCACCGAGGCCACCUCCUCCUCGCGCUACCUCCGUGACGCCUGGUCCUACGCCACCGAUUGCUCCUCCAACUCCGCAUCCCGUUCCUCCGAUGCCGCCGCUGCGGCGGCGGCGCUGGGCCGCCGGGACGACGAGAUCGCACUGCAGCUGCCGGAGCUGCAGAGGCUCCUGGACGCGCUGAGGGCGUCCAGAAGGAGGGGCGCAGAGGGCGGGCGGCGGCGGCGGCCGCGGACCCGGGAGGGUGGCACUGGUGGGUACAGGGCCGGGGACCCCGAGCUGCUCACGCUCAAGGCGGUCCGGGCUAUCGAGGCGGCGGACCUGGUGCUCUACGACAGGCUGGUGUCUAAACGACGUGUUUGGACUUGGUCGGGGAGGGCUCCAGGCUUCUCUAUGUCGGCAAGACCGCGGGAUACCACAGCCGCACCCAGGUGUGGGAGCACUGUUCCUUCGUUUCAAUUUGGAAGUUUACACGCGAUUGGAAAUGCUAGUUGGGCGGGCAUUCUGCAAUAACGAUUUCAAGUAGGUACUUUUUCUUGAGCACGUGUGAGACAACAUCCAUGAAGAACAGAGAAUUGAGGCGACCUCAGCUUAGGACGUUGUACCUUUCCUUCCGCUUUCUUGGUCAUUUGUAUGUUUGAUGACUGGUUGAUGCAAUGUAGGAGGAGAUUCACGAGCUGCUGCUGAGCUUUGCGGAGGCUGGUGCCAAUGUUGUGCGCUUGAAAGGUGGCGAUCCUCUGGUAAUUUGCUGUUGCUUGCAAAACUACUUAGUACUAAAGGAUUAUUGUGGCACUUCCAUUUGUUACCCAAGCUCAAUCAACAACGUCAGACAUUUUUUUGCUAGUGGUAGUGUCAUAAACAUUGUGGACUAACUUUUUCAAAUGAUGAUUCAUUCUUGGUGUUGCUUAAGUCAUUUUCAAAUGGUGGAUUCAUAGAACUGAUUGUCUGAUACUGACUAGUACUGUUAUGACUUAUGACCGAUAUGUCAUGGCUGUCACAUCUGACUCACCAAAGCAGCAGGUCAUAAAAGAACAAAAGCAAACUCUCAGGCUACUGUUUGCCUUUGUUACAUGUGGUUCUUGUACUUGGAAGGAAAUAUUAUUGGUAGGAUGAAAAAGAUCAAUCAUUUUUAAGCUGUUGUGUUUGAAGAGCAGUUUAGGUGAUGGAUCAUGUCUUCAUUUAAUCUGUUCAGUCAUCGCAGAAAUACUUCUAAACUCGUAAGUGUGAAAGCCUUGCAUUAACCAAGAAAACAAAGCCACUUAAAUCUUAGGAAGCCCUGUACUCCUUUGUUUUAUCUGUAUAGUAGCAACUGAUUCUAAACUAUUGUAUUUUCCAUUCAUAUUUCCUCAAAAGGAUUCCCAAUUUCCCAUUCUUAUUGGUUAUUUGGUUAUGCCGUCUCAUGUAAAUUCCAUGUGGAUGUAUCAUUUUAGAGAUCCCAGAGCCAUAGGGUUGCAGUUGCACCUUUUCUAAUAAAAGAUAGAGGCAAAGAAAGUAGUACCAACGUUGCAAUUUUUAUCACUUUGAGCAUAGACAGUGUUUCAUUCCACAUAUAACUCUCUGGAAUUGCACUUCUAUCUGUAGGCGAU
rnacentral:lncRNA from 1 species